UGAACGCUGGCGGCAUGCCUUACACAUGCAAGUCGAACGGCAGCACGGGUGCUUGCACCUGGUGGCGAGUGGCGAACGGGUGAGUAAUACAUCGGAACGUGUCCUGUAGUGGGGGAUAGCCCGGCGAAAGCCGGAUUAAUACCGCAUACGAUCUACGGAUGAAAGCGGGGGAUCUUCGGACCUCGCGCUAUAGGGGCGGCCGAUGGCGGAUUAGCUAGUUGGUGGGGUAAAGGCCUACCAAGGCGACGAUCCGUAGCUGGUCUGAGAGGACGACCAGCCACACUGGGACUGAGACACGGCCCAGACUCCUACGGGAGGCAGCAGUGGGGAAUUUUGGACAAUGGGCGAAAGCCUGAUCCAGCAAUGCCGCGUGUGUGAAGAAGGCCUUCGGGUUGUAAAGCACUUUUGUCCGGAAAGAAAUCCCUGGUCCUAAUAUGGCCGG
rnacentral:rRNA from 7 species